AGCAGCCGCGGUAAUUCCAGCUCCAAUAGCGUAUAUUAAAGUUGUUGCAGUUAAAAAGCUCGUAGUUGAAUUUCGGAAUUAAUGGAUCGGUCAUGCCACUCGGUGUGUACUGGUUUGAUUGGUUCUCACCUUCUAAGGAACCGUGAUGUCAUUAAUUUGGUGUCGCGGGGAAUUAGGACUGUUACCUUGAAAAAAUUAGAGUGUUUAAAGCAAGCUCACGCUUGAAUACAUUAGCAUGGAAUAAUGAAAUAGGACAUUGUAUUCUAUUUUGUUGGUUUCUAGGAUCGAUGUAAUGAUUAAUAGGGAUAGUUGGGGGCAUUAGUAUUCAAUUGUCAGAGGUGAAAUUCUUGGAUUUAUUGAAGACUAACUACUACGAAAGCAUUUGCCAAGGAUGUUUUCAUUAAUCAAGAACGAAAGUUAGGGGACCGAAGACGAUCAGAUACCGUCGUAGUCUUAACCAUAAACUAUG
rnacentral:rRNA from 1 species